GAUGAACGCUGGCGGCGUGCCUAAUACAUGCAAGUCGAGCGAACAGACGAGGAGCUUGCUCCUCUGACGUUAGCGGCGGACGGGUGAGUAACACGUGGAUAACCUACCUAUAAGACUGGGAUAACUUCGGGAAACCGGAGCUAAUACCGGAUAAUAUAUUGAACCGCAUGGUUCAAUAGUGAAAGACGGUUUUGCUGUCACUUAUAGAUGGAUCCGCGCCGCAUUAGCUAGUUGGUAUGGUAACGGCUUACCAAGGCAACGAUGCGUAGCCGACCUGAGAGGGUGAUCGGCCACACUGGAACUGAGACACGGUCCAGACUCCUAUGGGAGGCAGCAGUAGGGAAUCUUCCGCAAUGGGCGAAAGCCUGACGGAGCAACGCCGCGUGAGUGAUGAAGGUCUUCGGAUCGUAAAACUCUGUUAUUAGGGAAGAACAAAUGUGUAAGUAACUAUGCACGUCUUGACGGUACCUAAUCAGAAAGCCACGGCUAACUACGUG
rnacentral:rRNA from 1 species